UACCUGGUUGAUUCUGCCAGUAUUCAUAUGCUUGUCUCAAAGAUUAAGCCAUGCAUGUCUAAGUAUAAGCAACUUUGUACUGUGAAACUGCGAAUGGCUCAUUAAAUCAGUUAUAGUUUAUUUGAUGGUUUUUGCUACAUGGAUAACUGUGGUAAUUCUAGAGCUAAUACAUGCAUUCAAGCCCCGACUUCUGGAAGGGGUGUAUUUAUUAGAUAAAAAUCAACUUUGUUGGUGAAUCAUAAUAACUUCUCGGACCGCAUGGCCUCGUGCUGGCGGUGCUUCAUUCAAAUAUCUGCCCUAUCAACUGUCGAUGGUAGGAUAGAGGCCUACCAUGGUUGCAACGGGUAACGGGGAAUAAGGGUUCGAUUCCGGAGAGGGAGCCUGAGAAACGGCUACCACAUCCAAGGAAGGCAGCAGGCGCGCAAAUUACCCAAUCCCAACACGGGGAGGUAGUGACAAUAUGUAACAAUAUACGGCCUUAUACGUCGUAUAAUUGGAAUGAGUACAAUUUAAAUCCCUUAACGAGGAACAAUUGGAGGGCAAGUCUGGUGCCAGCAGCCGCGGUAAUUCCAGCUCCAAUAGCGUAUAUUAAAGUUGUUGCAGUUAAAAAGCUCGUAGUUGGACCUUGGACCUGGACAGGCGGUCCGCCUCACGGAGAGUACUGUCUUGCUGGGUCUUUCCUCUUGGAGAUCUGUUGUUUCGGCAGCAGGGAACCAGGACCUUUACUUUGAAAAAAUUAGAGUGUUCAAAGCAGGCUCGACGCCGGAAUAUAUUAGCAUGGAAAUAUGAAAUACGACCUGCGGUUCUAUUUUGUUGUUUUUUGGAUCGCCGUAAUGAUUAAUAGGGACAAUCGGGGGCAAUUAGACUCACUUGCAAAAGGUGAAAUUCUGGAUUUGUGAAGACUUACUUCUGCGAAAUCUUUUGCCAGGAUGUUUUCUUAGUCCGAACGAAGGUUAGGGAUCAAAACGAUUUAUACCUUGUAUUUUAACGGAACCAUGCCACCAGGAACGGACAUUUUACCUUUGGGACCAUCGGCCCUAGGAAAAUGGGAAUUUUGGGAUUUGGGGUAUUGGUAUCCAGGGUAAAUUUAAAAAUUUACAAAUGACCACUGAGUGAAGCGCUCCUAAUGA
rnacentral:rRNA from 1 species